rnacentral:rRNA from 1 species
GAUGAACGCUGGCGGCGUGCCUAAUACAUGCAAGUCGAGCGAAAAGACGAGGAGCUGGCUCCUCUGACGUUAGCGGCGGACGGGUGAGUAACACGUGGAUAAUCUACCUAUAAGACUGGGAUAACUUCGGGAAACCGGAGCUAAUACCGGAUAAUAUAUUGAUCCGCAUGGUUGUAUAGUGAAAGACGGUUUUGCUGGCACUUACAGAUGGUUCGGCGCCGCAUUAGCUAGUUGGUAAGGUAAGGGCUUACUAGGGGAACAUUGCCUAGCCGACCUGCGAGGGUUAGCCGCCCGCCUGGAGUGGAGGGACGCUCCGGACUCCUGCGGGAGGCAGGAGUCGGGAGUGUUGCGCAAUGGGCGAAUGCUUGACGGUGCGCCGCCGCGUGAGUCAUGAAGGUCUUCGGCUCGUAAAACUCUGUUAUUAGGUAAGAACAAAUGUGUAAGUACCUAUGCACGUCUUGACGGUACCUAAUCAGGAAGCCCCGGCUAACUACGUG